AGGCUUAACACAUGCAAGUCGAACGGUAACAGGAAGAAAGCUUGCUUUCUUUGCUGACGAGUGGCGGACGGGUGAGUAAUGCUUGGGUAUCUGGCUUAUGGAGGGGGAUAACUACGGGAAACUGUAGCUAAUACCGCGUAGUAUCGGAAGAUGAAAGUGUGGGACCGUAAGGCCACAUGCCAUAGGAUGAGCCCAAGUGGGAUUAGGUAGUUGGUGAGGUAAUGGCUCACCAAGCCGACGAUCUCUAGCUGGUCUGAGAGGAUGACCAGCCACACCGGGACUGAGACACGGCCCGGACUCCUACGGGAGGCAGCAGUGGGGAAUAUUGCGCAAUGGGGGCAACCCUGACGCAGCCAUGCCGCGUGAAUGAAGAAGGCCUUCGGGUUGUAAAGUUCUUUCGGUAGCGAGGAAGGCAUUUAGUUUAAUAGACUAGAUGAUUGACGU
rnacentral:rRNA from 1 species